rnacentral:rRNA from 1 species
CGAGCGGACAGAAGGGAGCUUGCUCCCGGAUGUUAGCGGCGGACGGGUGAGUAACACGUGGGUAACCUGCCUGUAAGACUGGGAUAACUCCGGGAAACCGGAGCUAAUACCGGAUAGUUCCUUGAACCGCAUGGUUCAAGGAUGAAAGACGGUUUCGGCUGUCACUUACAGAUGGACCCGCGGCGCAUUAGCUAGUUGGUGAGGUAACGGCUCACCAAGGCGACGAUGCGUAGCCGACCUGAGAGGGUGAUCGGCCACACUGGGACUGAGACACGGCCCAGACUCCUACGGGAGGCAGCAGUAGGGAAUCUUCCGCAAUGGACGAAAGUCUGACGGAGCAACGCCGCGUGAGUGAUGAAGGUUUUCGGAUCGUAAAGCUCUGUUGUUAGGGAAGAACAAGUGCAAGAGUAACUGCUUGCACCUUGACGGUACCUAACCAGAAAGCCACGGCUAACUACGUGCCAGCAGCCGCGGUAAUACGUAGGUGGCAAGCGUUGUCCGGAAUUAUUGGGCGUAAAGGGCUCGCAGGCGGUUUCUUAAGUCUGAUGUGAAAGCCCCCGGCUCAACCGGGGAGGGUCAUUGGAAACUGGGAAACUUGAGUGCAGAAGAGGAGAGUGGAAUUCCACGUGUAGCGGUGAAAUGCGUAGAGAUGUGGAGGAACACCAGUGGCGAAGGCGACUCUCUGGUCUGUAACUGACGCUGAGGAGCGAAAGCGUGGGGAGCGAACAGGAUUAGAUACCCUGGUAGUCCACGCCGUAAACGAUGAGUGCUAAGUGUUAGGGGGGUUUCCGCCCCUUAGUGCUGCAGCUAACGCAUUAAGCACUCCGCCUGGGGAGUACGGUCGCAAGACUGAAACUCNAAAGGAAUUGACGGGGGGCCCGCACAAGCGGUG